rnacentral:rRNA from 1 species
AAGAGGUAUUGCGUCACUAACGGCGAGUGAAGCGGCAACAGCUCAAAUUUGAAAUCUGGCCCCAGGCCCGAGUUGUAAUUUGCAGAGGAUGCUUUUGGUGCGGUGCCUUCCAAGUUCCCUAGAACGGGACGCCAGAGAGGGUGAGAGCCCCGUACAGUUGGACACCAAGCCUUUGUAAAGCUCCUUCGACGAGUCGAGUAGUUUGGGAAUGCUGCUCAAAAUGGGAGGUAUAUUUCUUCUAAAGCUAAAUACCGGCCAGAGACCGAUAGCGCACAAGUAGAGUGAUCGAAAGAUGAAAAGCACUUUGAAAAGAGGGUUAAACAGCACGUGAAAUUGUUAAAAGGGAAGCGCUUGUGACCAGACUUGCGUCCGGUGAAUCACCCAGCUCUCGCGGCUGGGGCACUUCGCCGGCUCAGGCCAGCAUCAGCUCGCUGUCGGGGACAAAAGCUUCAGGAACGUAGCUCUCUUCGGGGAGUGUUAUAGCCUGUUGCACAAUACCCUUCGGCGGGCUGAGGUACGCGCUCCGCAAGGAUGCUGGCAUAAUGGUCAUCAGCGACCCGUCUUGAAACACACGGAGGAAUGUU